rnacentral:rRNA from 1 species
AGAGUUUGAUCCUGGCUCAGAUUGAACGCUAGCGGCAUGCUUAACACAUGCAAGUCGAACGGUAACAGCAGAGCUUGCUCUGGCUGACGAGUGGCGGACGGGUGAGUAAUGCUUAGGAAUCUGCCCAGUAGCGGGGGACAACAUGUGGAAACGCAUGCUAAUACCGCAUACGCCCUACGGGGGAAAGCAGGGGAUCUUCGGACCUUGCACUAUUGGAUGAGCCUAAGUCAGAUUAGCUUGUUGGUGGGGUAAAAGCCUACCAAGGCGACGAUCUGUAGCUGGUCUGAGAGGACGAUCAGCCACACUGGAACUGAGACACGGUCCAGACUCCUACGGGAGGCAGCAGUGGGGAAUAUUGCACAAUGGGGGAAACCCUGAUGCAGCAAUGCCGCGUGUGUGAAGAAGGCCCGAGGGUUGUAAAGCACUUUCAGUAAGGAGGAAAAGUAUGUAGUUAAUAACUGCGUACCCUGACGUUACUUACAGAAGAAGCACCGGCUAACUCCGUGCCAGCAGCCGCGGUAAUACGGAGGGUGCGAGCGUUAAUCGGAAUUACUGGGCGUAAAGCGUGCGUAGGCGGCACGGUCAGUCGGAUGUGAAAGCCCAGGGCUCAACCUUGGA